UCUGGGUAGCCAUUACAAAAACUACAAUUUUUUAAUUUUUUUGUUAUUUAUUUUUUACUUCUUCAUAUAGUGGUUGGCAGGAUAAUAUGUAUGAAUCAUUUAAAAAUAAACUUUCUUAAUUGUGUUAAGUAGGUAUGUGGCAACAUCCAAACUUUUUUCCAACAGAUAUUAUCAAUAAAACCAUUCCAGUAAGUUUCCUGUUGAAACCUUGCUCGUAUAGCUCUAUUGUUGUUGAAUGGACUAAAAGAAAAACAAAUCUUUCCUACUGAUGAGUCAACAGGGUUAAUUGUAGGUAUGUUCUGAGGGUCAGGGCCCUGUUUCAGAAAGCGGAAACUCUGGUUGAAGGAAACUCUGGGUUUUCGGUUUGACAAAGCCAGUUCAGUUGAACUCUGAGUCAGUUACUAUGGCAACAUACUGCCAGCGAGCAGAUCUUCAACUAACCCGGAGUUUCUUCUCUUUAGCUGAAGCCUGCAGACUGAAGGUGUCAGACAUGGCAUGUCCUUUUUUUGAAGAGCCAGUUGAUAGUGAAGCACAAAUAAUCCACAGAAAUCGGUCGGGAGAGGGAUCAGACCCCGCUUGGAUGUUUUAUCAUUCCCUGAUGAUUAUGUUUGUGCAGAAAAACAGAAACGCUCAAUCGAUCAUUCAUCUGAACAAUAUCCUCAGCCCUCAUUUCGUUCAUAUGACACAUCGUGGAAAUGCUCUCAGUUCGGAAUAAAAUAAUUUGUUGCACUUUGUUUUUUUGCCAACGGGAGUUUUCUAUAUAUCAUCAGUGACGCUGAGCAUAUAUCCAAGGCAACCGUCUGUCGGGCUGUCAGAAAUAUGACUCCUGCACUGAAACGUUUAGUGUACACUUUUGUGGCGUUCUCAAGUCACAGACUCACAAGACUCAAAGAAGAAUGCCACAGAAUUGCAGGCAGAGCAGGCAACAGAUGGCACACAGACAGCAGAGUUGGGGACAGAUAUGCAGGGACAGACUGGCAGAGACAGGGAGUCUCAGAUUCGAGUUUGGGAAACCCUGCUCUAUGUGACUGGAGCCAUGCAUCAGGUGCCAGGUGUGCAGGAGCUCUUCGCCUGAUCAGCAUCCUUGACCUCAUCAACCAGUAAACUUGAGUUUACCCAUUGCGGUUUACCGUAGCAUUUGUAGCAGAAGAAGCAGUGGAAAUGCUGAAGACCUUUUUAUAAACAUAAGAACCCAAAUGCCCCCAAGACAAGGAGUGAGAUACUGUUGAUGUCCAGCAGGGGGCAAUAUUAGUUAAGUAAUGAGGUGAGGAGCAGAGAACGAUCAUGAGGCAAAGGGAGUAGCUAACAAAGGGUUCUCCUGAAACAGACUUGGAACACAACAAUGGGUCCUAUGGAUUUUUGUCUGACAAAGAAAUUAAAUGGACUUUUUCAUAUUUUCACGUAUUCGCUCAGCCUUUUGCAUCAGCACUCAUUUUUAUUUUCAUAUUAUUGAUAGUGUUUUAUACCCUUACAGCAUAGUUUGGAUGGACAGUGGACACUAUCCAGGGCCUGUAAAGUGGCUUGCUGCUAAAACAGCCUCUACUCUUCUGGGAAGGCUAGAUGUUGGAAUAUUUCUGUGGGGACUUCCAUUCAGCCACAAGAGCAUUAGUGAGUUCGGCCACUGAUGUUGGGCGAUUAGGCCUGGCUUGCAGUCUGCGUUCCAAUUCAUCCCAAAGGUGUUCGAUGGGGUUGAGGUCAGGGCUCUGUGCAGGCCAGUCAAGUUCCUCCACACCGAUUUCGACAACCCAUUUGUGUAUGGACCUUGCUUUGUGCACAGGGUCAUUGUCAUGCUGAAACAGGAAAGGGCCUUCCCCAAACUGUUACCACAAAGUUGGAAGCAUAGAAUCGUCUAGAAUGUCAUUGUAUGCUGUAGCAUUAAGAUUUCCCUUCACUGGAACUAGAGCCUAGCCCCAACCAUGAAAAACAGCCCCAGACCAUUAUUCCUCCUCCACCAAACUUUAUAGUUUGCACUUUGCAUUGGGGCACGUAGCGUUCUCCUGGCAUUCGCCAAACCCAGAUUCAUCCCUAUAUGCUGUCUUGUCAUUGUUGGUGAUCAGGCCUGCCACUGUUGUGUCAUCGGCAAAGGUAAUGAUGGUGUUGUGCCUGGCCGUGGAGUCAUGAGUGAACAGGGAGUACAGUAGGGGACUAAGCACGCACCCCUGAGGGGCCCCUGUGUUGAGGAUCAGGGUGGUGGAUGUGUUGUUACCUACCCUUACCACCUGGGAGCGGCCCGUCAGGAAGUCCAUGAUCCAGUUGCAGAGGGAGGUGUUUAGUCCCAGGGUCCUUUGCUUAGUAAUGAGCUUUGAGGGCACUAUGGUGUUGAAUGCUGAGCUGUUGUCAAGGAAUAGCAUUCUCAUGUAGGUGUUCCUUUUGUCCAGGUGUGAAAGGGCAGUGUGGAGUGCACUAGAGAUUGCAUCAUCUGUGGAUCUGUUGGGGCGGUAUGCACAUUGGAGUGGGUCUAGGGUUUCUGGGAUAAUGGUGUUUAUGUGAGCCAUUACCAGCCUUUCGAAGCACUUCAUGGCUACAGAUGUGAGUGCUUCGGGUCGGUAGUCAUUUAGGCAGGUUACGUUAGUGUUCUUGGGCACAGGGACUAUGGUGGUCUGUUUGAAACAUGUUGGUAUUACACUCAGACAGGGAGAGGUUGAAAAUGUAAUUGAAGACACUUGCCAGUUGGUCAGCGCAUGCUCGGAGUACACGUCCUGGUAAUCCGUCUGGCCCUGCGGUCUUGUGAAUGUUGACCUGUUUGAAGGUCUUACAUCGGCUGCGGAAACCGUGAUCACACAGUCGUCCGGAACAGCUGAUGCUCUCAUGCAUGUUUCAGUGUUACUUGCCUCGAAGCGAGCAUAGAAGUAAUUUAGCUCGUCUGGUAGGCUCGUGUCACUGGGCAGUUCUCGGCUGUGCUUCCCUUUGUAGUCUGUAAUAGUUUGCAAGCCCUGCCACAUCCGACGAGCUUCGGAGCCGGUGUAGUACGAUUCGAUCUUAGUCCUGCAUUGAUGCUUUGCCUGUUUGAUGGCUCGUCGGAGGGCAUAGCGGGAUUUCUUAUAAGCUUCUGGGUUAGAGUCCCGCUCCUUGGAAGCGGCAGCCCUACCCUUUAGCUCAGUGCGGAUGUUGCCUGUAAUCCACGGCUUCUGGUUGGGGCAUGUACGUACGGUCACUGGGGGACGAUGUCAUCAAUGCACUUAUUGAUGAAGCCAGUGACUGAUGUGGUGUACUCCUCAAUGCCAUUGGAUGAAUCCCGGAACAUAUUCCAGUCUGUGCUAGCAAAACAAUCCUGUAGCUUAGCAUCUGCUUCAUAUGACCACUUUUUUAUUGACCAAGUCACUGUGUAUUAAUUUGAGAGUGCUUUCAUUUCUCCAGCUCCAUCCCUCCGGUUUUUAGAUAAUUUGUCUUUGAGAGUUUAUUCUACAAACAGUGAUUAGGCCCUUACAUGCUGUCAUGUUAUUGAUCUUAAUCACGUAAUAAUAACCUCUCUCCAGUUCCCUCUGGUUUUGUGUCUUCUGGUUCAUUCCUUCAUAAAGGUUUUAAAUGUUUGAUGCUUGCAGUAGUGGCGUGUUAGAUGAGAGAUGUCAUGCCCUUGGCUACAUUCUGACCAUACAACCCCCCCUGAAGGUCACUCAUGUAGAGCUCUGCUGCUACGGCCAAAGAACCACUCAGGAUCCCUGCCUAAGACUGGCACAGUACACAUGCUCAGCCGCCUGCCCCCACACAUCCGUCAGAGAAACACACACACACACCUUGCCAAAGGAUCUGUACUCUGUAUUUUCUGUGCUUGGAGGGUGCAGGGGUUGAGUGCCACCACAGUGAGUACUUGGAGCCACUAUGCAGGGCUAUAUUUGGGCCUCCAUCUUGUGCCCGCUGAAUGAGCUGCUUGGUGUCACACUAUGAUUUUCCACCCACUGGGACCUGGAGAACAGAAAGGCUGCAUUUAAACUGCUUUUACUUCCACUAAUGUCAGUACGCGUUGAGCGGUAAUGUUAUUUGUGCUCAGACUCUCUGGCAUUUCCGCCUGCAAGUUUGUAGUUAUCAUACUUUUGAUUGGCUGUGACUAAGCCUUGCAUGUUGCUCAAGCUUCUCCUGCCUACCAAACACCGUUUACUUCCCAAUUACUAUGCUAAUGUAUGCCAGCAAAAAAUCCUUCAAAAUGCAUUCAAUUUGUCACCUCCACAUGGGGGACCGGCAGUGUUAAUGAGAAGACUAUGAAGUGUCGUUCUCUCGUUAUCAAGCUGACAGAGAGCCUGUGACGGUGCACACACUCCACCAUGACAAAAAUGUAUACAAACAACUUACCCGGCAAAGAUGUCAUUAUCUAUCAGGAUGAAAAACCACAGUUGUCAAGAGCACCUAUUUCUGUUUCACUGCAAACGACUGUGUUUGCAGAGGAAUGGAUGAGAAGGGUUUAAUUUUUCCAUCUAAUUGAGCUGACGGCUACUAUUACAGGAACUGGCUGGUGGCAAACUUUUAGAGGUUUUAUUUUCUAAGAAGUGGGGAUAGCUAGAGAGGAGAUGCAGUAUAGUACACGGUUGUGUUUUGCAGUUUUGGCUCUACGUUUAAAACAUUUUAUAGGGUUGUAAUACAAUGACAGUCUGUUUAAAAAUGAUAAACAGCAGCUGAGAUCAUAUGACUGUCAAAACAAACUUACAGCCACUCAUAAAGAAUUUAUCCCAUUUAUCUAUUAUGCUACUGUGGUAUACUUUCAUUUAUAGGCUAACAUAUUAUUUCAUGAGACCUUCUGAGGUCUGUCUCCCAGAGUUACUAGCGACUUGGAAUAGCUGUGCUGUGAAUAAAAAGGCAUAUUAUGGGUACA
rnacentral:lncRNA from 1 species